UCUUCUGAAAUGGAUCAAAUCGGACUUUGUCGUCGAGACUCGGAAGAACCCAGCUGCCUAAAUUAUAAUGCCAGUGGAACUCAAAACAGAAAAGAUACUUGUAUGCAAGACAUGGAGAAAAAAGCAGACUACAGCAUCUAUAUACCAUUCCUUGGUGCCUCCUUGAAUUGAUGUUUUUUUCCGGAUAACCAUGGAGGAAUAAAGGUUAACUCAGUAUAAAGUCUUGCUGACAUUAACAUGAUAAUCACAAGAAAGUGAAUAUAUUUCAUCACCUUAAGCAAUUUUCAAAAUACCAGGUAAAGUGCAUUUAUUCUGAACACAUAUCAAAUAUUUAAACCCAUUUAAUAUGUCACCCCUAAAUUUUUUUGAAAGUAUACUGGAAACACAAUGUCUGUUUGCCAGUCUCUCUGUAUAGUAAUAUAUAUGGAAGUAUAUAGUUUUUGAAUACUAGUAGCUUUUUAGUUCACCUGAGCCGAAAGCACAAGUGAACUUUUCAGAUCACAUUUUCUUCGGCAUCUGUCUGUCCAUCUGUUAACUUUUCACAUUUUCAACUUCUUCUCAAGAACCACUGGGCCAGGAAAGAUGGAACUUAAAUGGAAGCAUCCUCAGAUAGUGUACUUUCAAGCCUCUUCAACCCAGGGGGGGGGGGGGGCACAAUGGACGUACAGUCUUACUUAAGAAAUAAGGUAUUUUUAAACUUCUAUCCGGACAUAAAUAUUGGUUGGUCAUGACUUACAAGAUUAAAUUCCAUAAAGCCUGAAGGGCUUUAUAAUGAAUUUAAUCUCGUACCAACCCGUAUUUAUAGCCUGUUGGAUGUUUUAAAAUGAUACCUUAUUACUUAUAUUUUCAUUUGUGACUUAUUCAUACUUUAUAUUUGCCUGAUCACGCUGUUUGUGGCUUUUAACAUCCUAAAUGCAUUAUUUUUCAAAACCAAUGGCAUGUACAUGUAUACAAGACAUUGAAUGCGUGUCGACCCUUUAUAACGUCACUGUGAAAUUCCGUUGAACAUUUAUCGAUACGCACAUCUAUGACCUCUUGACCCCUGUAGUG